GAAGCAUGCUUUUUACGACACAGAAGAUACUGAGAGCAGAGAAGAUAAGAGUGUAGAUUGAAUCACAGCCUUUGUUAAAGGUGUCUUUGUUCAUAUAUUGUGGGAUGAUUUUUAUCACUGGCCUCCCCAUGAAAAGACAAGGUAUGUUUGUGCUGGACGGCAGUUUGCUUUGCUCAAUGCACACUGCAGGUGGCUGAGGGAAGAGGAGAGCUUGUAAUGUGGAAAUAAUAGAAACUGUGGCUUGGUUAUACAGACGCUGUUUUUCAGUGUGAAAGGUGAUGGCUUGCACAGAAAGUUGUAUUUGUGCGCCUUGGGAAGAUUACAAAGAGGUGCUUUGUGAGGGGAUGCAGCUGCUGAAAUCCGACUAGAUCCAGCUGAAGAGAGAAGGGAGCAGGUGGGUCAACAACGCCACCCUGCUGUUCCCAGAAUAUCAGGCUGCAGAGCUGUGCCUCCCUCCCCCACACAGGCACUCUCGCACAGACAAACACACAGCAACACAUGCACACACAUCCUCAGAGCACCCCAAUCCCAGCCCAUUACACACAAACAUUAUAACAUGUCAAAAUAAAAACACAGCAACACCCACAAAACAGCAAUAUGCACAUGUCAAAGGACUACCUCUGUGGAAAUACUGCCCACUCAAACAAGUGUGUUUAACAAGAAUCAUUCAUGUAGUGGGAGAAUUUUGGCAGAAAGUUUGAAAGCUACACAAAUUAUUCACGCACACACACUUAGUGCUGUGUACUAAGGCCUUAUGCUAAUUCUAGGUCGCACCUUAUGAUUUAAUUAACAGCAGCAAUGACACGGGCAGUCCACGUGCUGUAGAAGGCAGAGGAAGAUCCUGUCAGCUUUGUGAAGCUAAGAUGUUAACAGGUCAGGAUGCUGCCAAAAUGUUGGAUUUCUGAAUCACAAUGGGGACAUUGGUAAGAUGACCCUCAUCCGGCUUUGUGCAGCUCAAAAAAAGGGCGGCAGGAGAUGGAGAGAGGAAAGGAAUGAAAGAGAGAAGAGGAAGUCAUGCAGGCAAGCGUUCUCGCUCCUGUUGAAGUGGAUCAGAUGUCUCACCGCCAACCUGACUGCAGGGGACACGAUGCUGGACCAAGAUCCAGCACCCAUCCCCCCUCUCCCUGCCUCUACUCCCCACCUGGCUGUCAUUGAGGUUUCCAUCUACGGGUGGUGGGGGCUUCAAAUGCAGAGGCAGACAAUCAGACGCAGGUGUCUCCUCUAGUGACCCGGAUGUACUUAUCCCCCGAUGCCUGGUGACCCUGACAGGAAGUGAUUCGCUGGCCAAGUGACCUCCCCUGGUGGCCCUUCCUGUCCCCGUGUUGCCUCUCAGGAAGGAAGGAUGCGGUUUGUUGUCCUCAGGCGCCUCUCUCUCACUCUCCUGUCCUCAGCCUGACGAGAGAAACUCGAUUAUUGAUUCCAGGCUCGUCUCUCCUCGUCCCGUCUUUUUUUUAUUCUUCUUUUUCUGUCUGCUCCAUUCUCCAUCUCUUUCUCUCUUGUCUCAGCACCCACUUUAUUUUCUUUUGACAUCAUCCCUUUCUUCUUUUGUUACUUUUUCCCCGUCCGUACGAGAUGUGAGUAAACACUGCGGACACAGGCAAACCGCAUCGUCCCCGAUCCCAUUCAAUUACACUCAGGGGGCUAACAAGUCUUUUGAUUUAUAGGCUCCGCUUUAUUUUAUUUCUGACACUGAUUUAUUUAUUUGUUUUACUGUUAUUUUAUUGCCCAUACAUUCACAUUAAAUAUGGCAGUCAAUUCAUGUGGUGGAGAACUUCCAAGGUCAGGCUUCUGGGUUUAGUCUGCUCUAAAAUGAAGUGCAUGCACACUGCAGAUUAAAGACACCAUUUGGUCAUAUUUAGGACGGGGACUUCCAGGCAGAGACAGAGACAGAGACCUCACUAACAACAUCAAACACUGUUUUUGUUGUUCUUGGCUGUAGAUUAAGAACAGGAACUUAAACCAACAAGGUGAAAAGGUCAUGAAAAAUCAUUGCCAUUGUUUGUUAAUCUUGUAUCUGUCAAGCAACAACGUCCAGGCCAGGAAAAACCUUAUCUCCUGAGGACUUUCACUGCUUUCCAAUGUGAGCAUAGAGCAUAAUUUAUAAUAAUUUGUUUGGUGUAACGAUGGCGACAAAAUCGUUUUUAUAUUUUAUUAUAGUAGAAUAUUUCUCUUUGUCACUUGUUAAUUAACAUUUUGUAAUUUCUGUCUUCAGCUGUAAUAGUUUUAUUGUGUUUGGUAAUCUGCCUUCAGUAUGUUUAUGGUUUUAAUUAUUAAAUGCAUUAACAUCAAAAAUAAUAAAGUUAAACCUUUUGUGAGCUUGUCCUAAUUGUGUCUUUUUGUAGUUUUAAUAUUAUGGGAAAAAAAGUAGAAACAGAAAAAGCUAACAGCAGAAUAUGAUUUGUAUCAGUUCAGGCAGCUUCAGCUGUAACUUAUCUUUUAUUGGUUAAUGCUUCUUUACUUUCUUUAAAUACAAAUUAAAAUAUAAUUGUCACUCCUGUCAUAACAACUACUAUAACAACUAACAAUUGUCACAUAAUGAGAAUAAAUUUGUGUUUCUAAAACAUUUGAAUCUAAUUUUAAAAAAAUGACUGCAAAAACCAGCAAAACUGAAUUGUCUAGUCCAUUCUCGUUUUCUUUGUGUUGUUAAUGGAGACAAUAAAUGGAUUUAGCUGUUAAUAGGGUGCUCGAUUCUUUGUUUUCUAAACGGCAACAUAACGUGUUCCAAAAGAGACGGGAGAAUAACAGGACAGCAGGGAGAGAGUGUGAAGUGAGAUGCUGUAGUCCCACAGGUGUUUUUCUCUCCUCUGUAAUGUCAGUCUGCAACUUUAUUGCCACCUAGUGGGAGUGGAUGUUUACUGUUUUUAGACCAUGGCGGUUUUAAUUCAUUUAUAGCUGUUAAACGUAGAUGGUCUGUUUAAAGUUGAGGUAAAGCAGUGAAAUAAUUAAGCCCAGAAUAAGUGUUCAGAUCAGCAGUUUCUUACCAUCAUUGCCUAUGUCAGCAAACUGCUGGUCUGUGACAGUGAAUUUUUCCAGCUGAGCUCCUCUGUCAAGUCCUCCAGUAAAUCUCCAACCAGUGAGUUCACAUCUGGAGUCUGAGUGGGGAGAUACACAUCAGCGGGCCUUCGGGCGAUGAGCUGGGGUUGAGGAGCACAUCUCCACAGUUGCAGAGGAUCAAGAACACUCAAAAUGAAUAAAUGUCAAAAGGCAGUACUUUUGUAAGAGCGGGGAGGGGGAAUACACAAAGGAGGGUAAGGGUACAAGGACAGAAAAUCCUGUAAAAGCA